CCUGCUCUGGAGACUCCAGUGAUUCCUAAAACAGGAGAAGAAAGAAAUGAAAGCAGGAAGAGGGAAGUUACAGAUGAAAACCCAGAUCCUGUAACCUCCAGAGAAGGUGGCGGAGUGGGCAGGGGUGGUCGUCUCCUGCCAACCCCUCCACACCCCACAUCUUCCCAGCCCUACUGAGCCCUGCAGCCUGCCUGCUCCUGCCUCCAAAAGCCAGACCAGCCACUGAAGGACACAGAGCGGAAAAAUGUUCCUGUACACCAACCCAGAGGCUUUUGCAGAAGGCGGCUGUUGCAGAACUGGGAAAACAAGCCAAGAAACAAGAGAGAGGAAAAAGACCACGCCUCACCUGGCAAAUUCCUAAUGGCCCAGGAGACCUGGGGCUUUACAGGGGGAGGCUGGCCGGGGCUGGCUCUGCUGGGAGGGAAGGGCAGGCCGAAGGACAACCACUUGCUGGCCAGUGACCUUGGGCGGGAUGCUGCCUGCUUCCCUCUGGUGAGGAUGGGGAGGAGGGAGGCAGGGGCAGGGCUGGCCGGCUGAGGUCACAGGAAGGCCCCUUCCAGCCUGAAACUCGAUCUCGGGAUGUGGAGCCUGCCAACCUGCAGCGACCCUGGGCCAGAAGAGAUGAAAGGCUGCCUGUCCCCAGCUUCCGGACCCCCAAGGCCCUAGUGCCUCCUACCGGGAGGGCAGCAAAGCUGCAGCAGCUGGCUGAAGCCAGUUGCUGGGCUCCCCACCCCAUUUAUGUCAUCCCACCCUCCUCUUCCCUGUGUUUUACAGAGGACAUUCAGGCCCAGCGAGGGCUGGUGACCUGGCUGAGGUCACACAGCAAGCUGGAGAGACUGAGUCAAGACUUAACACAAAGGCUUUGGACUCCAAGCCCAAACCUCUGUGCCUUUCCCAGAAAUUUGGCUGCCUGCUGGCUUACUCUGGGGAGCUGGGAGAGACCAGGGCCAGGGAGGACAGUUUGGAGCUGUCUGUUUGAAGUCAUAACUCAGUGUUGACUAAAGUGUGUGUGUGUGUGUGUGUGUGUGUGUGUGUGUGUUGGAGGGGAGUGGAAGGUCUCAGCCUGGACUUGCUUCCCUGGCAGGGGAAGGAAUGUAGCUCUGGCCACCGCAGCUGCUGGUGGCCAGCUGCAGCCUCAGCCCCUGCUGCUCCCGCCCCAGCAGGCAAAGGGACAAAGGCCCUUCUCAGCCCCUGUCCCUUCCAGCUCCCUGAGCCGCCUCCUCACAGACCUGCUAAGUCAGGGUUCCUCUUCCUCGCAGGGGCCUUAGUGCCCUUUCUGCCCGACACACUUCUCGCUCCCCUUGCAGCUUCUAGAGAGCAAAGUUACAGAAACACGGGCCUCCUGGCCCCUUCUCCCACCUGAGGAUCCACCUCCUCACUGUGCCCUCCCUCCCACUUGCUUCCUGGCCACCCUAUCGUCCUCAGCUCAGUUCAGGGGCUCAGUGGGCCCUGGGCCCCUCAUGCACUCCGGGAACCCUGCCCUGUCUUCCAGUGUGCACUGCUUCUUCAGUGUAUUUAUCACUGUUGUAAUUAAAUACUGUAGGAGCUAUAGGAGCUGGGGAUAUAGCUCAGUGGAACGCACCUGUCUGGCAAGCGCAAGGUCUUAAGUUCAAUUUGAGGUACACACACACACACACACACAACACUAAUAAUCCACUGUACAAUUGAUGUGUCUCCCCACUGUGAACUUGCCUGGGCGUGAUGGUGCAUACCUGUAAUCCCAGCACUCUGGGAGGCUGAGGCUAUAAUGUUCAAGGCCAGCCUGGGCUAUGAAGUGAGUUCAGACUAACCUGAACUGCUUAGUGAGAUCAUAUCUCAAAAAGACAAAAAAAUAAGGGCCAGGGAUUUAGCUCACUGGCAUAAGUGGCAUAAGUGAGCUAAAUGCCUGGCAAGCAUGAGGUCAUGAGUUCGAUCCCCAGUACCCCCCAAAAUAAUAAAAUAAAAUAAAAAUAAAUAAAAUGUGAAUUCUUU